GGGAAUCUUCGGCAAUGGACGAAAGUCUGACCGAGCAACGCCGCGUGAGUGAAGAAGGUUUUCGGAUCGUAAAACUCUGUUGUUAGAGAAGAACAAGUGGGAGAGUAACUGUUCCCACCUUGACGGUAUCUAACCAGAAAGCCACGGCUAACUACGUGCCAGCAGCCGCGGUAAUACGUAGGUGGCAAGCGUUGUCCGGAUUUAUUGGGCGUAAAGCGAGCGCAGGCGGUUUCUUAAGUCUGAUGUGAAAGCCCUCGGCUCAACCGAGGAAGGUCAUUGGAAACUGGGAAACUUGAAUGCAGAAGAGGAGAGUGGAAUUCCAUGUGUAGCGGUGAAAUGCGUAGAUAUAUGGAGGAACACCAGUGGCGAAGGCGACUCUCUGGUCUGUAAUUGACGCUGAGGCUCGAAAGCGUGGGGAGCAAACAG
rnacentral:rRNA from 1 species